AGACUUAUCUGACAGGGGAGAUACCAUGAACGUGAGGAUAGUUUUCCCAAGGCAAGUUUCAACCCAUGCAAUCUGGAUGAUGAGACAUUACUUAAUGGGGACAAUGCAUGUGAUUUGGGUGGUGGAUACUGUAGAAACACUAACUUCACCACUAUACGAUCCAU
ensembl:snRNA U1 U1 spliceosomal RNA